rnacentral:tRNA from 1 species
AGCGGCGGAAGUCGCGGUAGCUCGUCAGGCUCAUAACCUGAAGGUCGCAGGUUCAAAUCCUGCCCCCGCAACCA